rnacentral:rRNA from 1 species
CCAAUAGCGUAUAUUAAAGUUGUUGCAGUUAAAAAGCUCGUAGUUGAAUUUCGGGAUCAAUACGUCGGUCGUGCCUCCGGUAUGUACUGGCGUUGUUGGUUUCUCCUUUCUGAGGAGCCAUGAUGCCAUUAAUUUGGUGUCGUGGGGAAUCAGGACUGUUACUUUGAAAAAAUUAGAGUGUUUAAAGCAGGCCCACGCUUGAAUACAUUAGCAUGGAAUAAUGAAAUAGGCAGUUCGAUUCUAUUUUGUUGGUUUCUAGGAUCAACGUAAUGAUUAAUAGGGAUAGUUGGGGGCAUUAGUAUUCAAUUGUCAGAGGUGAAAUUCUUGGAUUUAUUGAAGACUAACUACUGCGAAAGCAUUUGCCAAGGAUGUUUCCAUUAAUCAAGAACGAAAGUUAGGGGAUCGAAGACGAUCAGAUACCGUCGUAGUCUUAACCAUAAACUAUGCCGACUAGGGAUCGGAUGAUGUUAAUUUUUUAAUGACUCAUUCGGCGCCUUACG